GACGAACCGUCCAAACGUUAUUCGGAAUCACUGGGCUUAAAGGGUGCGUAGGCGGCGCGGAAAGUUGGGUGUGAAAUCCCUCGGCUCAACCGAGGAACUGCGCCCAAAACUACCGUGCUCGAGGAAGAUAGAGGUGAGCGGAACUUAGGGUGGAGCGGUGAAAUGCGUUGAUAUCCUAAGGAACACCGGUGGCGAAAGCGGCUCACUGGAUCUUUUCUGACGCUGAGGCACGAAAGCUAGGGUAGCGAACGGGG
rnacentral:rRNA from 1 species